rnacentral:lncRNA from 1 species
GGGCAAAAAAUUAAAUAUAAAAAUGUAAUGGAUUAAUUUAGUUUUAAGUGGUAAUAGAUUUGCAUUAGAUUUAAUGAUCGCACUUAUAUUGUCCUUAAAAAUAGUUCUAAUGCAGAAAGUAUAGUCUAACACUGAAUGAUUUCAAACAGUACUACUGUUGAAAAAUCUAUCACCAUUUGAUGGAAUAUCCAAAAUUUGACCUAGAACUUUACAGUCAAAUUCGAUCACUUAUCCUUUAACAUACGAUGAAAUAGAACAAGACUUACUAUUAAAACUAAAAUUACUAUAAAAAUACUAAACCAG